GGCGCGGCGAUAGCACGUUGAAUACACCAGUGCCCCAUCGAUCGCUGAAGUAACGUUGCGCGUGGUUGGUAUCCGGAUGAGUGACCAUCUGGACAAUCGCGAGCUUCUGACU
rfam:Asian citrus Psyllid, Diaphorina citri - Florida Strain, whole genome shotgun sequence.